rnacentral:lncRNA from 1 species
GGAGGUAGUCCGUUUGGGGUAAGUGUGUUUAGGAAUUCUAGGGGAUAGUAGUUAUGAGGGUCAUCUACUACAGAAUCAAAGCUAUGAUAGACCAUUUCCUCUCCUUGGAAUCAUUCGAUCAUCUUUAGAUUGAUGCGGUCUACACACUCAUUACUCAUUGAUAAUAUUGCUCUUGAUACGAUGUAAUUUGGAUCAGUUAGGCUAGCGUUGUCCAUUUGAUAGAUGUUGUCGAUGAGUCUAUCGAGUCCAAAAUCACCCAUCUUAUGUGGAACACAUAUAUUUUUGGGUAGACGUAUCUUACCAUUACCGUUUGUCUCCUCGGUGCCAUUGCCAAUCUGCAGUAGGUAUUUUGCGAACCAUGGGUCAUUUUGAGCUCUCAUGUUGCGCACAAGCUUUAAGUGAUGCAUACAAUCCCAAAGUUCGGACCUGCGCAAUGAUGC